CUCUUCCUCCUAACCUCCCAUCUAUUACAAACCUGGUGGUUAAGCAUUUAUCUGCUCACCACUGAAUAGUGCUGAAAAGAAGGUGGGAGAGUUCUUCCCUUAACAUUUUCAAGACUUUAGUAAACUUUGGGAACUUAUAAGCUGUAUGUCUUCAAUGUAUUUUAUAUUCUAAAGAAACCAGUGAAAAAUGGUCAAGUUCUAAGGCUAAGGUGACACAGGGUAAAUGACAUAUCAAGGUAUAUGAUACAGGAAUAGUGGAUGAGAGUAGACUACAAGCAAUGUUGGGAAUGUGUUGAAAUUGUAAGAAGGGCUUUAUACUCUCUAGGGCUAAAAUAAGGGUUCAUUGAUGAGCCCCUAAAUUAUAAUAUUCAUUCAGUAAAACAUUUAAAGGUAUUAUAUUACAUUAAUCA
rnacentral:lncRNA from 1 species